rnacentral:ncRNA from 1 species
AUUUGCGCGAGGAACAGAGGAGUAAUCCGGAAACGCUGCAGCGAGAGAGUCCCGGCUGGUGAAAAGGGAUAUGCAGAAUCCGGACGAAUAAAGGCUGGGAGCGUCAACGCAGACCUGCGUUACGGGCAGACUGAAACGAUCAGUCACUAAGAUGAUUAAAGCGAUUUAAUCAUGAAUUAGGGUGGUACCACGAUGAUAACUCUCGUCCCUAUC